UCCCUGGUAGUAUAUUGGAUAUUACACGCUGCGCCAUAUGUCUGUUCUCCCCAAUGACCUGCGCGCGAAAGCUGGGUUCGAUUCCCAGCCAGGGUG